rnacentral:rRNA from 1 species
AACGAACGCUGGCGGCAUGCCUAACACAUGCAAGUCGAACGAUUGCCUUCGGGUGAUGGUGGCGCACGAGUGCGUAACGCGGGGGAAGUUGCGCGUGGGUUCGGUAUAACAGCUGGAAACGGCUGCUAAUACCGGGAGAGAUCGCGCGGCAUAAGAUUUAUCGCCUGAGGAUGAGCGCGUGUUGGAUUAGGUUGCUGGUGGGGUAAAGGCCCACCAAGCCGAAGAUCCAUAGCUGGUAUGAGAGGAUGAUCAGGCACACUGGGACUGGGACACGGCCCAGAUUUCUACGGGAGGCAGAAGUGGGGAAUAUUGGACACUGGGCGCAAGCCUGAUCCAUCCAUGCCGCGUGAGUGAUGAAGGCCCGAGGGUUGUAAAGCUCUUUUACCCGGGAAGAUAAUGACUGUACCGGGAGAAUAAGCCCCGGCUAACUCCGUG